CAGCAGCCGCGGGAAAACGUAGGUGGCAAGCGUUGUCCGGAAUUAUUGGGCGUAAAGCGCGCGCAGGCGGAUAGGUCAGUCUGUCUUAAAAGUUCGGGGCUUAACCCCGUGAUGGGAUGGAAACUGCCAAUCUAGAGUAUCGGAGAGGAAAGUGGAAUUCCUAGUGUAGCGGUGAAAUGCGUAGAUAUUAGGAAGAACACCAGUGGCGAAGGCGACUUUCUGGACGAAAACUGACGCUGAGGCGCGAAAGCCAGGGGAGCGAACGGGAUUAGAGACCCCUGUAGUCCCUGUCUCUUAUACA
rnacentral:rRNA from 1 species